AGUGGCAACAGAGUAUUAGGAACCAUCUCUACUGGACUGCAUCAUCAUCCAAGACAGGCCCAGAGAAGGUGGCAAAGUGGACAUCUGUCAUCAAUCGCAUCCACAACAUUCACACACACGAAGACCCCCUUUUUCCAAAGUGUGAGCACAGUGAUGUCAUAGAUAAGAGGAGGUGGUUGAAGCCAGGAUCAAAGGCUUCCUACAGACUGGAGAAGGUCCUUACAAACAAGAGGUUCAUCAAGGGUGUGGAGAAACUAAGCCCUCACCACCAAACAUCCUCUCUUGAGGCCUUCCACAGCGUUGUCAUCCGCUUUGCACCAAAGAGUGUGGUUUACCCAUUCAUUGGGAUGCUUUGCAGGUAAUGCACAUUAUGCAAGUGAUUAUGCACAGCCAGCCAUCAUUAUGACAGAAAUACCCCUGUUACUGUAGUUUUGCUGGCCUACUUUCUGACCAGAUUAUUAAAAUAC